rnacentral:tRNA from 1 species
GAGUAUGAUAAAUGUUAGUUUUGCAAAGACUAAAAAGAGUUAUGUAAGCUCCAUACUUU